rnacentral:lncRNA from 1 species
GAAUUUCGAGGAAUUCCAGGCAGUUGAGGUGAUUCCGGCACGUGGACUUAACUACCUGGAAUUUUUGAUUCAUGAUUUUAUUUUUUUUGUAAUUCCAGGCACUUGAGGCAGACAAACAAACAGUUCGGUUCCAAUUUCCUAAAAUUAAACAAAAAAUUGGAAUCACGACUAUAUAGUGCCUAUAAUUUUGGCAUAUUUUUAGGAAUUACAGGCAGUUGAGAUAAUUCUUAGUCAUAGAUUCAAGUGCUUGGAAUUCUUGAUUAAUGAUUCUAUUUUAUUUACAAUUCCAGGCAAUUAAGGCAGUUGAGGCAGUCAAAGAGCUCAGUAUCUAUUGCUUGAAAGUAGAAAAUAAACAAGGAUUUACGAUUGUAUAGUUCCUAUAAUUUGGGGGAAAUUUAAAAGAAUUCUAGGCAGCUGAGGCAAUUAAGGCAAUUAAACAACUCACUCAAUUGCUUGUGAUUGGAAAAAAAACAGGAUUUACGACUGUCGAAUCACUAUAAUUUGGGGAACUUCGAGGAAUUCCAGACAGUUGAGGCACUUGAGGCAGACAAACAAACAGUUCAGUUCCAAUUUCCUAAAAUUAAACAAAAAAUUGGAAUUACGACUAUAUAGUGCCUAUAAUUUUGGCAUAUUUUUAGGAAUUACAGGCAGUUUAGAUAAUUCUUGAACAUAGGUUCAAGUGCCUGGAAUUCUUGAUUGAUGAUUUUAUUUUAUUUACAAUUCCAGGCAGUUAAGGCAAUUCAACAACAACUUUUAAUUGUUUGGGAUUGGAAAAAACCCAGGAUUUACAAAUGUAGAAUCCCUAUAAUUUCGAGAAUUUUGAGGAGUUCCAAGCAGUUGAGGCAGUUGAGGCCGACAAACAAACAGCUCUGUCCCAAUAACCUUAAGAAAAAAUAUUAAAGAAAAUCGUAUGUUUACAGUUUGUAUUCAUUUAAAAGAACUUUUGGUAAUUUAUUUUUGGAAGAAUCAAUAGGUUGAGGUAUCUUGUUGUUUAUUAUUUAUUAUUUUAAA